UGACUUCACUGAGCUUUGGAC
rnacentral:miRNA from 1 species